GGGGAUUUAGCUCAGCGGUAGAGCACUUGCCUAGGGAGCGCAAGGCCCUGGGUUCGGUCCCCAGCCCCG
rfam:Rattus norvegicus chromosome 10, whole genome shotgun sequence.